rnacentral:sRNA from 1 species
GCUGGAUGUGGUGGCACAUACCUGUAAUUCCAGUGACUUGGAAGGCUGAAACAGGAGGAUCACAAAUGCAAAGCCAUUCUGAGCAACUCACUAAGGCUCUAAGCAACUUAUUGAGACCCUGUUUCAA